rnacentral:rRNA from 1 species
GACGAACGCUGGCGGCGUGCUUAACACAUGCAAGUCGAACGAAAAGAGGGAAAGAGCUUGCUCUUUCCGGAAUUGAGUGGCAAACGGGUGAGUAACACGUAAACAACCUGCCUUCAGGAUGGGGACAACAGACGGAAACGACUGCUAAUACCGAAUAAGUUCCAAGGGCCGCAUGGCCCAUGGAAGAAAAGGUGGCCUCUACCUGUAAGCUAUCGCCUGAAGAGGGGUUUGCGUCUGAUUAGCUGGUUGGAGGGGUAACGGCCCACCAAGGCGACGAUCAGUAGCCGGUCUGAGAGGAGGAACGGCCACACUGGAAUUGAGACACGGUCCAGACUCCUACGGGAGGCAGCAGUGGGGAAUCUUCCGCAAUGGGCGAAAGCCUGACGGAGCAACGCCGCGGGAGUGAUGACGGCCUUCGGGUUGUAAAACUCUGUGAUCCGGGACGAAAAGGCAGAGUGCGAAGAACAAACUGCAUUGACGGUACCGGAAAAGCAAGCCACGGCUAACUACGUG